rfam:Riemerella anatipestifer RA-CH-1, complete genome.
CAACCUCUGACGAGAGCCGUGUAUGUUG